rnacentral:tRNA from 1 species
GGGGUUGUAGCUCAGUGGUAGAGCACUUGCCUCUCAUGUGAGAGGCACUGGGUUCAAUUCUCAGCACCA